rnacentral:piRNA from 1 species
UGCUUCUUUCAUGGAGGUUCUGAACUGC